UACGUAGGUGGCAAGCGUUGUCCGGGAUUUACUGGGCGUAAAGAGCUCGUAGGCGGUUUGGUAAGUCGGGUGUGAAAUCUCCACGCUCAACGUGGAGGGGCCACUCGAUACUGCCAUGACUCGAGUCCGGUAGAGGAGUGUGGAAUUCCCGGUGUAGCGGUGGAAAUGCGCAGAUAUCAGGAGGAACACCAGCGGCGGAAGGCGGCGCUCUGGGCCGGUACUGACGCUGAGGAGCGAAAGCGUGGGUAGCAAACAGG
rnacentral:rRNA from 1 species